rnacentral:rRNA from 1 species
AUACGGAGGAUCCGAGCGUUAUCCGGAUUUAUUGGGUUUAAAGGGUGCGCAGGCGGCCAUUUAAGUCAGCGGUUAAAUCGUGGGGCUCAACCCCAUUCUGCCGUUGAUACUGGGUGGCUUGAUUGCGGUCGAGGUUGGCGGAAUUCGUUGUGUAGCGGUGAAAUGCAUAGAUAUGACGAAGAACACUGAUUGCGUAGGCAGCUGACCAGACCGCAAAUGACGCUCAUGCACGAAAGUGCGGGGAUCGAACAGGAUUAGAUACCCUGGUAGUCCGCACAGUAAACGAUGAAUACUUGUUUUCGGCGAUAUAAUGUCGGAGGCAAAGCGAAAGCGAUAAGUAUUCCACCUGGGGAGUACGCCGGCAACGGUGAAACUCAAAUGAAUUGGCGGGG